UGGGGAAUUUUGGACAAUGGGCGAAAGCCUGAUCCAGCCAUGCCGCGUGAGUGAAGAAGGCCUUCGGGUUGUAAAGCUCUUUUAGUCGGAAAGAAAGAGUUGCAAUGAAUAAUUGUGAUUUAUGACGGUACCGACAGAAAAAGCACCGGCUAACUACGUGCCAGCAGCCGCGGUAAUACGUAGGGUGCGAGCGUUAAUCGGAAUUACUGGGCGUAAAGGGUGCGCAGGCGGUCUUGCAAGUCAGAUGUGAAAGCCCCGGGCUUAACUUGGGAAUUGCGUUUGAAACUACAAGGCUAGAGUGCAGCAGAGGGGAGUGGAAUUCCAUGUGUAGCAGUGAAAUGCGUAGAGAUGUGGAAGAACACCGAUGGCGAAGGCAGCUCCCUGGGUUGACACUGACGCUCAUGCACGAAAGCGUGGGGAGCAAACA
rnacentral:rRNA from 2 species